CAUAUACAUAUAUUUCUAAAAGAAAUUCAUUCCUUAAGUCAUACUAAAGAUCUCAUUGACCAUUUACAGGAGCCAAAAGCAAUUAACUUAUACUGUUGUAGUCAUUGUUUCUUAUAAUUACUUAUCUUUGAUAUAGGAGUUACAUAUGUAGGUGAAAACUUAAUUUAUGCCAUGCCAAGAGCCUAGUAAGUGGUAACUAGUAAGUGGUAGU
rnacentral:lncRNA from 1 species